CUGGGAGAGUCUUGAGAACACUGUGGAAGGUCGAACAUUGAAGGAGUUCGGGAUUCAAUUCUGCUGUAGAAGUUCAGACGGAGUCCGAUUCUUGUAGGAGCUCGAAUAAAAUUCGAAAGGCGAUCGACCGUUGUAGAAACUUGGAUAGAGUCUGGUUACUGUAGACAUCCUGCUGUUGGAGAAACUCGGACAUUGAUGAUAUACGGAUGGUAUUAUGGAAGCUCGGAC
rnacentral:lncRNA from 1 species